GCUGUUGGGAGUGUAAAAUGGCACGACCACUUUGGAAAACAGUUUAGCAGUUUCUUAAAAAGUUAAACAUACACCUACCAUGUGAUGCAGUCAUUCUAAUUCUAGAUCUUUACUCCAAAGAAAAGGAAACACAUGAGCACACAAAGACUGGCACACAAAUGCUCUUAGCACUUUGGAAUAGCAAAAGACUGGAAGAGAUCUCAAUGCCCAUCACCAGAGUGACAACUCCACAGAGACUGGGGCGAUACCGAUUUGCACAAGCACAUCUCUAAUGUUCAACAUAGAAUCUGGUGCCUACUAAGGACUUGACACAUAGUUGUUGAAGAAAGAAGAGAGAGAGAAGGGUUGAGAAUAACUCCAAGUUUUAACCUGAGUAAAAGAGAGGAUGCGUUACUGCUGAUAGCUAUGGAGGAAUCCAGAAGAAAGGCGGAAAUGGAACAGUGAAGGAAAAGGUGAAGGAGAGCCAAGUAGUGCUGGAGCGUGGCCAAAGACAGAAGCAGGACCAGGGAAAGUAGAUGAAGAGGCUGGCCAAGUGUUUGGGACUUGGAAAUGGUGUCAAUGGAUAUGCAAAUGAGAUCUGGGAAGUGAAAAGGCUCCUCUUGAAUCUUAAAUGGGGUAUUAAAUACACACACUUCUAAG